CUGACAUGAAGUUGGGAAGAGGCAUGAUGGGGGUCAGGGGUUAUCUGGAGGAGUUGGAGCAGGAAGUGUAGGUGGAUAUAAUCAAAAUACGUUGUAAACAUAUAUGGAACUUUCAAAGAAUAAAUUAAGCUGGGCACGGUGGCACCUGCCUUUAAUCCCAGCACUAUGGGAUCAGAGUUCAAAGCCAGCUUGGUCUAUAGGAUGAGUUCCAGGACAGCCAGAGCUACACAGAGAUACCCUGUCUCAAAACAAAACAAAACAAAACAACAAUAACAACAACAACAAAAACCCAGAAGACAAAAGCAAAAGAAUAAAUUAAGAACAUUACUUAAAAUUAUUACAGUUGUCAAAAUUCCUUCAUAACUGUGUACUUAAUUCUUCCUAAAUUUCAGAACUGAGAAGAUGUUGGACCACUCAUCCUGCUUCCUCCUGGGAAAAUCUGAGCCCUGAUCUCUCCAGGUGGCCAUUGGUUGACUCACUGGCACCCCCUGCUGUCGGAGAUGUAGAAACCUGAAAAUGAUACAAGAAGAAAGUGCCAAAACCUGGAAGCUGUGUGCAAAAAUGUCCAUAGCAUUUUAUUCAGAGCAGACACAAAUUAGAAUAUUUCCCAGUGUCCCUCUACAGGAAGGCAGGCACACAACGGUAACUUCACAGUGCAUCACAGCAUCAAAACGUGUGGUGGGCAAAGCUUCUCAUCACAAGGGGGUCGGGAAGGAAAGGCAGAGCUGAGAGAUCUAGAACAAUACAAAUACUUCUUUU
rnacentral:lncRNA from 1 species